UGUUCUUUGGCACAUAUCAUUCUUUUCCUUGCAAAAUUUGAGAUCUUUUUAUUAACCCAUUUCUUUUCUCUCCACUUCAAACCCAUUGAAGCUUUCUUUUGUAUUGUCUUUGAGCUAAUCUCCUUGUCAAACUUUAGCAUUAUCAAUGGCUUCAAUGUCUGCUCAUGGGUCGGAUGGUGCAUGGAGUGCAAUGCAAAACAAGGCAUUUGAAAGGGCUUUGGCAGUGUAUGAUGAAGACACACCUCAACGAUGGCUGAAUGUUGCAAACGCCAUUGGUGGCAAAACUGAAGAGGAAGUCAAGAGGCACUACCAGCUUCUUGUAGAGGAUGUCAAGCAUAUUGAAUCUGGUGAAGUUCCUUUCCCGUACCGGAGCUCCGGUGGAUGCUAUGAUAAUGACCGAUGACGAAAAAGAGCUCUCUCUACUUGAAGUAUGAGGUAUCAAAAGAAGCAAUGAUGAGUAUUUAGACAAUCUAUAAAUAAAGAAAAGUUGAUAUUGCGAAAGAAGAAAUGGAGUCUUAUUAUAUGGAGAAACCCUAGCCAAUGACUUUAUACACAACUUAAUUCUCUAGCCACCAUUGGCGCAUACCCUAGGUAGAGGGACAAAAAACUAAAGGGCCGCCGACUUGUGAGUAAUAAAAAAAAAUAUCUUUAUAUACAACUUGUGUAUUUAUAUGAACAGAGAGAAAUGUUCAUAUAGCGAACCCUUGGGGUUGGAUUCUUGAUGGCUACAUGGUUCAAGUAAAAAACAAAAACGGAUGAAAAACAUGAAAUAUCCAUUGAGCUGCUCAUGCAGUAUUGGAAGAAUAAAAGAAGAAAACAACCAUUUUGCUUGCUUUUGUGUGUCCAUUUAAAUUUAAUUGUAAUAUCAAAAGGAAUAAAAGAUUUCUUGCUGUUUUAUUUUCCAAAA